UCCUCAGACCUUGCUUCCCUCCUCUCUUCUCACUGUAGGGAAACAGGAAGUCAUGUUGAUUAAUAAGACUGCCUGGGAUCACACCCAAGGCAAUGUCGAAUCUUUACCUCUUCUGGGCUUUGGAAGAGGUGCAAAGAUCAAGGGCAAGCU
ensembl:misc_RNA